AGUUGCAAUGUAGCAGUUGCAUGACGUCUCCUGCGGGAGGCAUAUACCGUAUCUCAGCGAAGUCCACAAACACGCAGUCAUCAGGAUAAUUUGCAAAAUUGGCAGGGAGCCACAUAGAGGAAUCCAGAAUUCCAGAUUAAUAGAAAAGAAAAUUAGACAUCGGCAAAAAAUGUUGUGGUAGGAAAAUUGUCUUACAGUAACCUGUCUGUACCGUGUUACAUUUUGUAAUGUAAGAAAUGUAUAACUUUGUUGAUAAUAGUAUUCUAUACAACCGUGUUAUAAUAGAUGAGCUUUUCAGUCGAGUACCAUGUUUAGGGAAUUAAACUUGCUGAGUUGCCUAAGUAAGGUACGAGAUUGAAAAGCUCAUCAGAUUAAUAUCACUAUUAUGUACAAUACUUUUUCUACGAGUUAUCUAAAAUCCUUUUUUUUUCUAUUAAGCCUACCUACAUAAUUAAUGAUAAUUGGUAUGUAUCUCACUAGACAAAAAUGUAGUACUUACAAAAGACAUACACACGCGUUUUAUGUCUUUUAUAUGGGAGCGCGGCGGCACGUGAUUGGUCAAAUUCUUUAGUCAUUUAGUCAACUAUGAUUACAGCGUAUCGAAACGAAUAUUAUAGUUACGUUGGGAGCCCAUACAUGAAAAGUACCCAAUUAUAGUUUGGUAUACGAAAUCUUAAUUCAACCAUGAACGAGUAGAAAAAAGGUUUUAAAGUUUAACUUAUUUCACCUUUGCUAUUUUCAUGGUCAAUUAGAACGAUUUAUGAUUUAAAAA